rnacentral:rRNA from 1 species
UGGGGAAUAUUGGACAAUGGGCGAAAGCCUGAUCCAGCAACGCCGCGUGAGGGAUGACGGCCUUCGGGUUGUAAACCUCUUUCAGCGCAGACGAAGCGAAAGUGACGGUAUGCGCAGAAGAAGCACCGGCCAACUACGUGCCAGCAGCCGCGGUAAUACGUAGGGUGCGAGCGUUGUCCGGAAUUAUUGGGCGUAAAGGGCUCGUAGGCGGUCUGUCGCGUCAGGAGUGAAAACUCGGGGCUCAACCCCGAGCCUGCUUCUGAUACGGGCAGACUAGAGGUAUGCAGGGGAGAACGGAAUUCCUGGUGUAGCGGUGAAAUGCGCAGAUAUCAGGAGGAACACCGGUGGCGAAGGCGGUUCUCUGGGCAUUACCUGACGCUGAGGAGCGAAAGUGUGGGGAGCGAACAGG